rnacentral:rRNA from 1 species
AUUGAACGCUGGCGGCAGGCCUAACACAUGCAAGUCGAACGAGAGGCGGACGGGCGAGUAAUGCAUGGGAAUCUAGCUCCUGGAGGGGGAUAACUACGGGAAACUGUAGCUAAUACCGCCUCCUACAGCUUGAGCCUAAGUGGGAUUAGGUAGUUGGGGGGGUAAAGGACCACCAAGCCGACGAUCCCUAGCUGGUCUGAGAGGAUGAUCAGGCACACUGGGACGGGGACACGGCCCAGACUCCUACGGGAGGCAGGAGUGGGGAAUAGUGGGGAAUGGGGGCAAGCUAGCGCAGCCAUGGCGCGUGAAGGAAGAAGGCCUUCGGGUUGGAAAGUUCUUUCCGUAGGGAGGCGUUACCUAAAGAAGAAGCACCGGCUAACUCCGUGCCAGCAGCCGCGGUAAUUC